AAAAUCAAGGACUUUUUUUUUUUUUAACCACUGCCUCCAGUUUAUGUAAAUAUAGAAUACAAAACUAUUUAAUAGAUGUGUUUAUAUCUUCUGUUUAUUUAGUUUCUUAUGGUUUUUUUUUUAAUUUUUUUUUUAAGAAAUUAUUAUCCAAAUUUUUUUUAAUCCAUCCACUUCAUACAGCUUCUGAAGACUCAAAUUGUCAAUAGUAAUGUUUUUAUUUUUUGCAACUGUUUAGAUAGUUUGUUUAGUAAUUUUUUAUCAAUAAAAUAUUUUGAUAUUUUAGGAACAAUGUAACCAAGGAAACUACUGUUAAAUCAGCUUUAAAUACCCUGUCAAUGCUAAAAAUUAUGCCAAUGUUAUUUAAAUGAUUUUAACUAAUGCAUCAAGUUUCUACACAUUUUUAGAGUACAACAAAAAUCCAAACAUUAAGUGUAUGUAAUGUAAUUUUAUAAACAGAUAAUUCUGCUAUAACACUAAUCUACAAAUUUUCAUUUUGUGAAAACUGCCAAUAUGCAAAUAGGUGUUUCUUACACAACUUUUUAUGGUUAGUCCAAAUAUGUAAUCCAAUUUUUUGUAUUACGUCAGGAUUUUUUGCAGUUCGACAUUUGUUAAUGUAGAUAAAUGUCAAUAAAACCAGCAACAAAAUGUGCUUCGGUCAUGCAGAAAACAAUUGGUAUUUACUGAAUUAAUGACAAAAGUAUAAUAUAAAAGCAUAUAUACAUUUAUGUAUUGUCUUCUACCGUGCAAAUUGUCUUUAGAGUGAUUUUCUCUUAUGAGCAGCACCGGGAUUAUGGCCUUUUAAUGAUCAGCAAUAGUCGGCCAUCAUAUUCACAUUCCAACAACCUUGGUAACAACUCUCAAUUGCGCGAAUGUCCUAAUGGAACCUUUCACCUUGCUCUUCACUGUAUGCACCAAGAUUUUCAGGAAAGUAGUCAUCGUGAGAGUCCAAAAAGUGCAACAUGACACUCAUGCGGCAACCUAAAACCUGAAAUUUGGCUACCAUGUUUUCAACAAGACUUUUGUAAUUGUCUGAUUUAAAGUUUCCUAAGAAUUUGUUGACAACAUCUUUGAAGACAUCCAGGCUUGCAGUUCAACUGUGGGUAAUUUUAAUAAAAACUCCUCAUUAUUCAUUACUCUCUGAUCUGCCCUCCAACAAAGAUACCUGAAGUCUAUUUUGCUUCACUUGAAUGUGGAAAUUGGUCUGACAAAUAUUGAAAUCCAGAGCCAAUAUGGUCUAUAUUUAUGACAAAAGCUUUUAUUAAACUCAAUUUUAUAUGGAGUGGUGGGAGGAAAACUUGAUGUGCUUAUACCGAAGGCUGUAACUUGACAUUGUGACUUCCUGGAGUAAAUUCUUCUCUCGCUGGCCACACUUUUUUGGCAUUAUGCUCAGAGUCUGCUCCGUUAUCUCAGAAGCACAAAAAACAUGGAAAUUUUUAAUACCCUCUUCGGAGUCUAAUAUGAUGGCUAUGACCUUUAAAUCUCCACAUAUCAACCACUUGUGCUGAUUAUAAUUCAACCAACUUAGCAACAGUUUCAUGUUUUCAUACGUCUCUUUUAGUGUUACCGAGUGUGCAACUGGAAGUAAUGAUAUUUUGUUUCCAUUAAAUAAAAGGACUGCCUUCAUACUGCGCUUUGAUGAAUCAAUAAACAAUCUUGAUCCUGAUUAAAAUCAGGAUCAAGAACAUCACUACUUCACAAAGUUUACAAAUAAAAUGAGGCGCCCAUGCUUUGUCCUGGUCUCCCAGUUUACAUCUAAAGUACGCAUGAUAAUAUUUCUUUGUUAAAUGUGAACUUUCUUCUCUGCCACUAUGCAAAAUUGUCCACAAACAUAACAAAACCUGUCUGCUAUAUUCGUACAAUAUCUUGGCAUUGUGAAACUUUUUUUGAAAUUAAAAUCUGAAACACACAAACAACAGCAAUAAAAUAUUCCAUUAAACUUGUAUUCAAAUAUAAACUGAUGAUAUAAGCCACUUAUAAUAAGCAAAAAAUUUGUUAACACAAAUUUGUGGUUUUCUCAAAAACCUUACGUGAUAACAAAAAGAGAAAUACAUCAAAAUUUAUUAUUUUUAAUAAGCUUUCAGAAGUUUAUAAUGUUUUUCAAAUGAUAAGUUUUUGAAACAGCUUUUGAUUGUUUUAGUGUUUCUCUUCAAUAACUACAAUUUGUCAAAUUAAUGUUUUCUUUUCUUUUUCUAAACCUUAAAGUUAAAUUAAGUAUAUUUAAUAUUGCUUUAUUCUAGUUUUAUUGCAUCAGAACAUAAAUUAUUUUAAAUUUGUUGUUUAUGAUAAUUUGAGAUAAAUUCUAUUUUGUGUUACUGCUAUAUAUUUUUUUAAGAUUUUCAGUUAGCAAUUACCUGGAUCUAUCCAGGCAACUGAAGUUUUUUAAAAAUAAUGAUAUACUUCUAUAUCUUUUGCAUAAUAAGUUUGAUUAUGCUAAUGUCUUUUUAAUUUCGUAUAGGUAUCAAGUGUUCCACAGACAGAUAAUCAAUCAAAUGAGGCACUUUCUUUCAUAACAGGUCAUUUCUUAUGAAUGCGUAAAUUUUUUGUGGAAUAAAUUCUAUUCAAUCUAAGUUGACAAGCCUUGAACAAAGACAGGGAAGGUUGGAAGAACGCCUUUGUAAUGAUCAUGUUGAUCAGAAUAUCAGCCAAAUCCAGUUCCCAAUUUUUAGUUCUGUACUGCAAUAUUCUGAAGUUGAAAAGCACUCAAACAGUAUGCUGUCAUGGAUGAUGCUUGAAGAAGGGUUGACUGCCUAUGACCAUAUUUUAAGAGUGCUUAUUAAGUUGCUGACACAUGAUAUGCAAAAAAAUGAUCAAAAGGCACGGAAAACAUGGCAAACUUAAGUUUUUCGAUCAAUAGAAAAUCUGCUUAAAAGUGAGUGAAAUUUAGAGCUACUUCGAAUAAUUUUGAUAUAAAAAAUAAAUUGAUAUUAUAUUUUAAAUAGUCUUGUGAGUAACUGAUUCGCUGUUUGAGACAAUAAAAUGAAGUAACGAAAGUUUAAAAUCUAUUGUUAUUAACAAUAUACUUAAUUUUAUACACAUAUUUAUAUUGUCGAUGUGAUUAUAUGUAACAGUCUCUUAAAUAAAUAGUAAUUAUUAAGUGAUUAU